GUAGUCUUCUUUCUGUUUACCCAGUCUGCCUUGAGGAUAAGGAAAAGGUAGAGAACAUGGUGGUCCACUGACUGAGAGGUUUUUAUCAGGAUGUGAGGUCAUCAAACCCAGUCUGAUCUCCUGGUUGGAGGAAGAAGAUUUACAGGCAGUACAAAGAGACCGUUUCCAGGAAUGGGAAAUGCAAGACACCUUGAGAGAACAAACUUUCAAUGUGGUGCAAAUGGUAAGACUAAUCAAGGAUGUUUAUUAGUUCCUAUACUCUGAAAAGACUAGAAAUUCCACUGUGGAAAGUAAAUGUCAUCCACUCAGGAUGGUGUGGGUAGGGGAGCAGCAUUUUAAACCAGAAGCACUCAAUAUAACGGUGUCAAACCCAUCAUGAAACCAAAUCCUGCAAGGUUCCCACAAGUGUACAUCCUGCAUGUGUAACUAGACAUUGAAUUUUUUUUAACUUUUUAUUGAUUCUUUGUGGAUUUCACAUCAUGUAUUCCAAUUCAUCUUCCCAACUCUUCAUAUCUACCCUUUGACCUUGCAACCUUCCCCUCAAAAUAAAAUAAAAUUUAAAAGAAAAAA